AGAGUUUGAUCCUGGCUCAGAACGAACGCUGGCGGCAUGCCUAACACAUGCAAGUCGAACGUGAAGCCGUCCUUCGGGGCGGUGGAAAGUGGCGCACGGGUGAGUAACGCGUGGGAACCUGCCCCUUGGUAUGGGAUAACCGUGGGAAACUGCGGCUAAUACCGUAUACGCCCUGAGGGGGAAAGAUUUAUCGCCGAGGGAGGGGCCCGCGUCGGAUUAGGUAGUUGGUGGGGUAACGGCCUACCAAGCCGACGAUCCGUAGCUGGUCUUAGAGGACGGUCAGCCACACUGGGACUGAGACACGGCCCAGACUCCUACGGGAGGCAGCAGUGGGGAAUAUUGGACAAUGGGGGAAACCCUGAUCCAGCAAUGCCGCGUGGGUGACGAAGGCCUUAGGGUUGUAAAGCCCUUUCGGCGGGGAAGAUGAUGACGGUACCCGCAGAAGAAGCCCCGGCUAACUCCGUGCCAGCAGCCGCGGUAAUACGGAGGGGGCUAGCGUUGUUCGGAAUUACUGGGCGUAAAGGGCGUGUAGGCGGCCCGUCAAGUCAUGCGUGAAAGCCCUGGGCUUAACCUAGGAGGUGCGCUUGAAACUGAUGGGCUUGAGGCCGGGAGAAGAGAGUGGAAUUCCCAGUGUACAGGUGAAAUUCGU
rnacentral:rRNA from 1 species